rnacentral:lncRNA from 1 species
CGAGUCGCACGGCCGCAGGCUCGUCCGCGGCAGGAGCCGUGAUAUAUGUCUCGCUCCCUUUCGCUCACAAAACGGAUUUCUUCCGACAGGCGUGACCCCAGAAGGCUGCGGAGAGAGCAUUUAACUAAGCAGAAGGAGUUGUCUUGUGGGAUUGGAUUUUUACACACACACCCCCGAGGUAAAUCAAAAUAAAUGAUUUUCCAAAGGUCAGUCUCCCUGAAAGCGUUUGGGCUGUGUGUUUUUGUUUUGUUUUGUUUUUCAUUGGGGAAGGAAGAGGAACCUAAUCAGAGUUGAACAGGGAUAGAUAGGUGCAUUGUAAAAUAUGGUUUCGAUUGAUUGUGAGAUCUGGUUGCGAAGGGUAGGUUUCCUGGCAAUAUAACAGUGAGUGGUGAACCUGUGGAUCCCUAGGGGACGGGGGAGGGGGAAAGAGUUUCGCGUUGAUCCGGAGGGGGGGGGGGGCGCGGACUCUAGGAAGUUGGGUAAAAUUCUCCAUUUUUUAAAUUCUUCGUUGUAAACUGUUGCUAAACACUUCUGAAUUUUAAAUUGCUACAGAGAAGGUCCAUAAACCGUUCUCGUUCAAUUUAGUCACUUUUAUUACAUUCCUCUUUGCCUCCCCCAAUCACUACUUCGGCUCCCAGUUUCAGCGUGGCCGCAUUUCGGAAACGCUGAAGGUAGAAAACUCUGGAAUGGAGAGAUUGGUGACCGGAGCAGGAUCCAGGGCCUUUAAAGUUUAACCUGAGUUCGAUCGAAUGCAACUACCGGAGUAACGUUGGCCGGCCGCUCAAUUCCCACCAUGGCUUCAGAUGUCUUGCACUCGGUUCUUUGCUGAGUUCCGACCAAAUGGACUGGGUUUUGCAGAGUUCUUUUGUGAGCGGUUAUUUUAAUGUUCUGGACAUUUAUUUUCCUUUGAGUCCAAUUGUUUUUGAA